AAUGAACGUUGGCGGCGUGGAUUAGGCAUGCAAGUCGCGCGACAAGGAACCUUCGGGUUCUGGAGGAGCGGCAAACGGGGUAGUAAGGCAUCGGAACGUACCCUCUUGUUGGGAAUAGCCGCGGGAAACUGCGAGUAAUGCCCAAUAAUCCCUACGGGGCAAAGGUCCGCCGCAGGAGGAGCGGCCGAUGUGAUACCAGCUAGUUGGUGAGGUAAUGGCUCACCAAGGCUUAGACGUCUAGGGGGUGUGAGAGCAUGGCCCCCACCACUGGACGUNAGAUACUGCCCACGACACCUACCGGGUGGGCUGCAGUCGAGAAUCUUCGGCGAAUAGGGCGG
rnacentral:rRNA from 1 species